rnacentral:rRNA from 1 species
AGUGAACGCUGGCGGUAGGCCUAACACAUGCAAGUCGAACGGCAGCACAGUAAGAGCUUGCUCUUACGGGUGGCGAGUGGCGGACGGGUGAGGAAUACAUCGGAAUCUACUUUUUCGUGGGGGAUAACGUAGGGAAACUUACGCUAAUACCGCAUACGACCUACGGGUGAAAGCAGGGGAUCUUCGGACCUUGCGCGAGUGAAUGAGCCGAUGUCGGAUUAGCGAGUUGGCGGGGUAAAGGCCCACCAAGGCGACGAUCCGUAGCUGGUCUGAGAGGAUGAUCAGCCACACUGGCACUGAGACACGGUCCAGACUCCUACGGAAGGCAGCAGUGGGGAAUAUUGGACAAUGGGCGCAAGCCUGAUCCAGCCAUACCGCGUGGGUGAAGAAGACCUUCGGGUUGUAAAGCCCUUUUGUUGGGAAAGAAAAGCAGCAGGUUAAUACCCCGCUGUUCUGACGGUACCCAAAGAAUAAGCACCGGCUAACUUCGUG